rnacentral:rRNA from 1 species
GACGAACCGUGCAAACGUUAUUCGGAAUCACUGGGCAUAAAGGGCGCGUAGGCGGCUCGCGAGGUCGGGGGUGAAAUCCCACAGCUUAACUGUGGAAGUGCCUUCGAUACCGGCGAGCUCGAGGGAGGUAGGGGUGCGCGGAACUUCUGGUGGAGCGGUGAAAUGCGUUGAUAUCAGAAGGAACGCCGGCGGCGAAAGCGGCGCACUGGAUCUCUACUGACGCUGAGGCGCGAAAGCCAGGGGAGCAAACGGG